rnacentral:rRNA from 1 species
CAGCCGCCGCGGUAAUACGGAGGGUGCAAGCGUUAUCCGGAUUCACUGGGUUUAAAGGGUGCGUAGGCGGGUAGGUAAGUCAGUGGUGAAAUCCUGGAGCUCAACUCCAGAACUGCCAUUGAUACUAUCUGUCUUGAAUAUUGUGGAGGUAAGCGGAAUAUGUCAUGUAGCGGUGAAAUGCUUAGAUAUGACAUAGAACACCCAUUGCGAAGGCAGCUUACUACGCAUAUAUUGACGCUGAGGCACGAAAGCGUGGGGAUCAAACAGGAUUAGAUACCCUGGUAGUCCACGCCCUAAACUAUGGAUACUCGACAUACGCGAUACACUGUGUGUGUCUGAGCGAAAGCAUUAAGUAUCCCACCUGGGAAGUACGUUCGCAAGAAUGAAACUCAAAGGAAUUGGCGGGGGAGCACAG